UUUCAGGGAGAUGUCCUUUGCUCCUCAGAUGUAAUGCACUUUAAGUUUGUUAUUCAACAGUGAAAAUGAGUCAUACAGAGGUUAAAUUGAAAAUACCUUUUGGGAAUAAAUUACUAGAUGCUGUUUGUUUGGUACCUAACAAGAGCUUAACAUAUGGAAUAAUUCUUACACAUGGAGCUUCAGGAGAUAUGAAUCUUCCUCAUUUGAUGUCACUGGCAUCCCAUCUUGCAUCUCAUGGUUUUUUUUCCCUGAGGUUUACCUGUAAAGGCCUUAAUAUUGUACAUAGAAUUAAGGCAUAUAAAUCAGUUUUGAGUUACCUCAAGACCUCAGAAUACAAACUUGCAGGUGUUUUCCUUGGAGGUCGUUCAAUGGGCUCAAGAGCAGCUGCUUCUGUAAUGUGUCAUAUUGAGCCAGCUGAUGCUAAUGAUUUUGUUCGAGGUCUCGUUUGUAUUUCUUAUCCACUGCACCAUCCUAAACAGCAGCAUAAACUUAGAGAUGAAGAUCUCUUUCGUAUAAAAGAUCCUGUACUAUUUGUGUCAGGCUCAGCAGAUGAAAUGUGUGAAAAGAACUUGUUGGAGAAAGUCGCACAGAAAAUGCAAGCUCCUAAUAAAAUCCACUGGAUUGAGAAGGCAAAUCAUUCCAUGGCAGUGAAAGGACGGUCAACGAAUGAUGUUUUCAAAGAAAUAAAUACACAAAUUUUGUUUUGGAUUCAGGAAAUCACUGAAAGGGACAAGAAAUAAUUGUCUUUAAUUAAAAGCCAUGUUAUUUUGAAUACAAAUACAGUUAAUUUGAUAAAGAACAGCAUAACUCUCAGCAUUAUGAGGACGCAUCACAGUAGUAGCUACUUCUUGGAAUCACCAGCCAGGGUGAAAAGGAAAUUUGCCUGGAGACCAUGGUAAAAUCUAACUUUGGUUUUCAGCAUAAUGGUAGAUUGUUGAAGAGGAACAACAGAUCCAUCCAGUAAAAGGAAAUAUAAAAGAGUUAUUUUUGAGAUCGUGCUCAUAAAGAUUUGACUUGGUUUCAGAAAAAGUUUGCACUUCCAGAAAAGGGUAGUUCAGAUGCCCAGAAG